rnacentral:lncRNA from 1 species
AACCACCACUGCAUUCCGUAAUCAAAAUCAUUUACUUGCAUUCUCAUUCAGAAUGAAGCGGUUCAAGAGAAAGGCAUGCACUAGGAGGGUCAAGGGAGGAGUCUCUCCUCAACUUUUAUCCUUAGAGUAUGUUUUAUUUCUUUUGUAAUUUUUUUAGUUACUAUGAGUAACUUUACCCUAAUUGGGUAGGAUUCUAAGACAAACCUCUAUUUGUCUUAUGAAUCAAUUUAAUUCAAGUCUUUUAUUCAGUUAUGUUUUGAGAUUUAUUUAAUUUCAUAUGCAAAGAUCUUAAUGCUUUUACGAAUUCUAGGGAGUGUGACAUACCUAGAGGCUCUUAACUGAACAUAGAAACAGGGGGCUGUAGAAGAUAUUUUUGGUCAACUUUUUCAAAUGUUGCAUUACAAACAUUACUUUAACCCCUUGGUAAGAUAGGGUUAUACCUAUCUAUUUAAUCUAUUAAGUAUCAUUCAUGAUAUUUGAUGUACUUCUAAGAUUCAUAGACGUAGGUGGAUCAUUUAAAUGACAAUUUAGGAGUACCAACUUUGUUUAUGUUUUAAUUAGCUUUGAGAGACUAAGACCUUACUUUAAUAACCUUACGAAGGCAUACAAACCUUGUAGGAAUGACGACCAUAUACAUUGUAUUUGCAUGUAUAACCUUAUUGUGAUCAAUAUGUGUGCAACUUGAGGGACAUAAAAAUCCCACGAACUCGUCACUUAAAUAGAACUCUUAUCUCAUAUUUAUCUUUAAUCCAACAAGGGAAUAGAGAGAAUUCGAAG